rnacentral:lncRNA from 1 species
UCGGAACAUGUAAACUUCUUGGAGGUUAUGUCUCGGAAUGCCUACACCGAACAAUAUGAUUCUGGAACCAUGGUCUCAGCCCAAAAAGCUUGAAUGACAAUGGAGAAUAUAUAUCUUUGAAAAGCAAUGCUGCAUAUCAAGAUAAAUCUCAGCAAGAGGACGAUGCUUUGACAACAAAGAUAAAUCACUUUCUGGUCCCAACAAAACUUACAAUCUUAUUCCAAUCAAACAUCUCAGUGAAAUUCAAAAUUCAGAGUUUUUGUAUCAGUUGCAUUUUCUUUUGAGCUCUUGCUAUUGUGGAAGGUACUUGACAAUAGCUUGCUAUUGAGGUUUUCUUGCGUUGCCCAAGUGUUACAGUACUGCUGGGGCCUGGCGCAACCCCACCAAUCUAUAAGAUUAAUAUUUAUGCGAGACCCCAGAAGGUAAAUCUCAUUGCUAGUGUAACACCUAAAGAAAUGAAAGCCUGUAUUUUCUGGGUUUUUCUGUCAUGCCUAUUUAGUGCUUGAUUUUGUGACGGUAACUGAUUAACAGAAUUGGCUUCAAUUUCACCUUCUGUAUUCUGCUAUAGAAUGCAGUGUCUAUUAUGAGUCUAUGACCACGACUUGACCCUCGUUAACUGGAUGGCAAAUAUUAAAUUUUCACCAUUAAAUUUCCCCAUCAUAUUACUAAUUCAUUUACAUAUAUACCAAACAAGGAGUGCAUUGUGCAUGUGGAAAACAUGUUUUAAUCACUUGCUACUUAAGCCCACAGAUGCCCUAUUAUACUCACAUAGUCACAUUGCAUAAUUACCUAAUAUCAGUGGAGAAUAGCAUUUACAUUCAUAAUAAGAGAGUAAUGGUGUAACAUACAUAAGAUCUAGAAAUUUAGGUAAAUAAAUCAUGACAAUAUCUAAGACUACAUUUGAGCUGGUGCGAUGAAUGUAAUGUUGAUAGAUUAACCAUACUGACUACAUCACUUCACCGAAAAUGGUUGGCUUAACAAAAAGGAAACUGUCUGUGAAACAAGACAGAUUUGGGGCCUAUUACAUAAUGUAGACUCAUUGUUCUAAAAGUCGGUGACUAAUCUAUGUUCCCUAACUCACCGGACUGAUUAAAUCUCUGAUUAUAAAAUUAAGCAUCCGAUUAAUCCUCAAUCAAUCCAAUUAUUUUUUGUUCCGUGCUUCACCGAUUAAGUUUCUCACUUAACACUUCACAUAGUAAUUAAUUAAAAUGCUGUUCGUAUUUGACUUUAGAAUCCUCCAAAAAGAAUACACAUUCCGAAGAAUGAUGAAUCAUCAGAAUAAAUCCAAACAACAAGCCUCAUAUCUAUAACCUCAAGUAAAGCAGAAUAUGGAAUACGAGUACAUAUAUUUUAUAUUUGCAUAUAAGAAAAACUAAAUCCAAAAGAGAUCGGAGAUAAAUCUACUGACCAGAAGUUAAAGCCGGUAGCUAAAUUCAUCUUCUUCUGCCUCCGAGGGUUGAGAAUCCCGAAAACCCAGCCUGUGUAUCUUGGGAAGCGCGUUAUUAAUCUCCGUGUUUUGUUAUAUCAUGUGUGUCUGUGCGCCU